UAUUUUACCUUUAAUCCUUUCAUUCUUUGAUUGAUUUACAUAGGAACAAAGCAACCCCUUGCUGAAAUGCAAUCGUUUCUGGAGUGAAGCAUUACUAUUUAACUCAACUAUAGAAGCAAAUCAGCUCUGUGCUUUUGACAAAGAAGCAAAAUAAGGAAAGAAGAAUUGGUUAAAGAGGUAGAAUUUAUCUGGGACGUGGGAGUGAACUCUCCAGAAAGUACCAGGAGAUCGUCAAGGAAGCAGAGGGAUCAGCGCUCUUAUUGCAUGUGAAUUGCCUGAACUACAUAAACCAGCUUCAAGGAGAACACUAAUGAAAGAAUAAAAUGACUUACAAAAUAAAUCAACCCUGGAAAAUAGGAAUGCUUUACAAAUGGUUUCAUCUUCUUUGGCUGGUGAUUCCAAACAUUGAUGUACAAUUACUUUGUGUCCUAGUUGUUUUGUUGUAUCUGAAACAUGAAGCCUUCACUUUAAACAUGGAUAAAGACUAAAAUCAGGGGAUGCAGUUAUUUCUAAAUUAACCAUCAGCUCAGAAGCAGGGUUUUCUCAGGCUGUUUUCAGGGAAGGGAAAACAAAAAUGGAAAAAAAGUUAAAAGUUUUGCCUUAAGGGCUGGAAACCUAUUUUUCACGCCGUUUAACUUUUGUCAUUCUCAGUGCAUCUGUUCAAAUUAGCUUCAGACAGUGAAAUAAAUAGGAAAUAUUGCCCAAGGGUCUCUGGGUUUGUCAGAAGGGAUUUUGAAAAAGUGGAGGAGAAGAAAAUAGGAAGCCCGACUCAUGAAGGCCCGCUGAGUCUUUUUGCUGAUGUGAAAUCAAAAUGACUGAGGUUAAAUGCAUUCAAAUAUUACAAACACCAGCAUACAAGGAAACCCGUAAUUUGGUGAUACUAGAUUAAAAUUUCAGGACAAGAAGCAGUGAGAACUUCCCCAGGUUUGAAGUCAAAGUUUAAGCAAAGCUGUGGAAAAGAGAAAGUCAAGUAAAGCUGGAAAACAUGUUCAGAAAGUGGAAAAAAAAAAGAUGAUUCCUCACAGUGCAGAACAGCAAAGCAGCCAAGGUGUUUGCUGCACCAAACCGAUGAUCAUGUCCUAUGAGCAAUACAGCAAGAUCUUAAUGUGUCUGAGAAUUAGAAGAUGUUACUGAUGACUCCAGAGAGCCAAAUGGAGGGAAAGCUUCAGAGGAGGUCACAAACAGGAGAUGACAAUGGUUUCUCAAGAAGUUGCUGGGAAAGGGACUGGGGAGAGACUGGCUGUUGUCUUUCAUUUGCUUGUUCCAUGUCCCCAGUGGCAGUUCAGGUGCCAGCAGCUCCUGUGUCCACACUGCCCCUGUGACAUAGGGACAACAAGGAACCAGUAGAGGAGGAACACAGGACAACCCAUGCACUGGUCACUCACCAAUGGUGAUGGUUCUUGUGUGACUGUCUACGUGGGCUAACCAGCUGACCAAAAAACAACCUUCCUGCAGAUGAGAAAGUCUAAAGCCUUGCCCAGUACACCUGCCGGUUCAGAGUUCUUCUGGAGCCAGCUAAGAACAUCCUCUGGAAUGGCUGGGAAAGGCAUUCUGUGAAAAAGCCAUGUGAAAAUCAAAAUUGCACUUCAGAAAAACAACCCAUCUAAGGAGGAAGAGAAAGGAAAACAAAAACUGAGGACUCAAAGUGGAAGAAAACAAAACAGGUCCUGGUGCUCGUGGAUAUUUUCAUUGUGAAAAAAUGGCAACAUCUUUCCCAAAACAAAAUAAGCAUUGCUAUUAUUUAUUGCAAUACCAAUCUCUUUCUGAUAAGUGCUGGUCUGGAAAGGAGGAGUUGUAACUCCCUGGAGUUACAUGGGGAGAAGAAGUCAUACAGUCCACCAUUUCUCCGCAUAUAAUCUUUUCUUUGGGACAAGAAAAGAAAACAUCAAACUACUGGCAUCUUAGGGUAUUUUCUGGGUAGAGCAAACCUCUUAGUAGGCAGCCACACAUAUUAAACCAGAGCUACUAUAAAUGUCUUGUCCAUUUAUUCUGGUUACUCUAACAUGGAGUAUUCACUAUUUUAUGCCACCUGCUCUGACAGAAGAGAAACUGCAGUAGAAGAAAGAAAUUCUUCCUUUUGUGUCUAAGGUUAAGGCAAGCUUCAGGGAAGAAUGAAAAUGGCAUAGAGAAAUGAGUCGUUCCUCUCAGCAAGGUUUGAAUUGUUUAUCUGCAAUAUUUUGGAUGAUUCAGCAUGUUUUCUGGCCUUUUUCAUUACAAGGGGUGUUUCCAUGGAAAUGAAAGCUUGAGGAGCUGAGCUUAUGAAUGUCUCUUACUUCUUUCUCUUGCAUACCUGAAGCUGUAGGCCUGGUUUUCCUCUAACUGGUCCUGGGAUAAAUCAGGUGUAGGUUCACUGGAGGUCCAGGUUUGGAGAGAUGCUGGUGUGAAACUGGUCUGAGAUGAGACACAUCACUUUUUAGGUGUUACAGGUUUCUAGAUCUCCACAGAAAGCCACUGUGGAGACUGAGGAUUGGGAAUAAGUAGCAGAUGUUGAAAAAUCCUUAAGAAAAACAGCUACUUUUUAGAUGAAAGGGGUUAACAGCCAGGGCAAUAAAUGGAAGAGAAACAAAUAUUAGUGCAAACAAGAAUCUCUUCCAAGGAGCUGCCUUUCUUCUCCCCCCAGCCUAUGUAUAGAAAUCUAUUGCUUCUCAUUGGAAAAUAAUGUUGUGAAUGUAUUAUUAAAAACUGGGCUGAUCAAUGUCUUAAUCUCUUGAUUUAAACAUGGGAGCAGA